UACGGGGGGGGCAAGCGUUGUUCGGAAUUACUGGGCGUAAAGGGCUCGUAGGCGGCCAACUAAGUCGGACGUGAAAUCCCCAGGCUCAACCUGGGAACUGCGUCCGAUACUGGAUGGCUUGAAUCCGGGAGAGGGAUGCAGAAUUCCAGGUGUAGCGGUGAAAUGCGCAGAUAUCAGGAGGAACACCGGUGGCGAAGGCGGAUCUCUGGGCCUUACCUGACGCUGAGGCGCGAAAGCUAGGGGAGCGAACAGG
rnacentral:rRNA from 1 species